CUCCUCCGUCGACGCUCCUACGAAUUUCAAAAAAUUUGCUUCACUAGAUUUUUCAGACCAUUUUUUUUCUCACGACUAUCGAAUCAUCACUUUUUUUCUAACGUUUUUCUAACCGGGAGGAAAGAAACAGAAACCUCCUUAAAAUCGUUUCAAAUCUUUCAAUGACGAAAAACUCGCACAGAUUCGGUGUAUUAAACAUCUACGGACACAAAAAAUCACUCGGCUAAGAAAACAAAAAGGUAAGCGAGUGUAAAGAAACGUAGAAUAAUGUAAUCUUCUAUUCUGGGAAUGUGUGUAAUGUUAUCUCAAAAUCAGUUGAGAUUCAGAAGUGGAUGGUACGAUUUCUUAUAAACGAUCGUAGUCAAUCGUCGAUUGUCAGAUAUAUUUAUUUCAGUUACAAUGCACGCUUUUUCUAAUCGUCCAUUCGAAGAGACGAUUUCGUCAAGUUUUCUCGGAUAAAAUCGACGUCGUGGGUCUUGGAAAAUGAAAACACAAAUUUUUUCAAAGCGUCGAUUGUAACGGUUAUUGAAAAUGUAUGCUGUCAACAUCUGAGAAAACACUGACUCUUUUCCAAUGUUCUACCACGGAUGUUCGGUAAAUCAUAGAGCACUUACUGAGCAUUGUCGUUUCGUCGUACAACAAUUAACUGGAUAAUAAUUGUUGAUCAAAGUGUGGAUGUGUAUUUCGAAUCCGUGCGCGUGGCGCGUGUUUAGGUGAGCGAUGUCGAUCCUACGUCAAUCGAUAGCGCACUGAAUGUGUCAUGAGUCGUUGAGAGAAAAUCGGCUUACGAAAGGACAAAACUGACGCUUCAGUCGACGUGAAUACGACUACAUAAUCAUUCGUUAUUUACUACAAAGUACGAUUAUAUUGAGAGUCGAAGUAGCGGCGCUAUACAACUAUAGAAAUUUUCAGGUGGCUACGAACUGUACGUCCGAGCCGUCCUCUACAAGCGCGAUGUUUACACACCGCGCAUAUGUAUGAAAAUAACACGACCACGUUCGAAAAAUUCCUGGAAAAUGAUCUCCAACGGUCGCCGGUAUACACGGAAUUCAGUAGUUCCAGUGAAUUUUUUCAUAAUUGACAUUUUUAUAAAUUGAAACGACACCGCUCCGCGAUAAGUGCCGAAUAAUGUGUAUAUUCGUCCAUAAAAGGGAUCGAGAUAGAAAAUCGCCUAGUAAAAGUGCCUAUAAAUAUGGAUAAUUCGUUUUGACCCCAUGAGCUGAGCGAUGAAGAAGACGCGGAAGUUGAAACGAAAGUCGAAUACCCAGUUUCAAACGCAUGUGUUUGUCGUUUAGGAAUAUACACGCACGCGUAUAUCAAACAUGUGAAAACUCCGAUGACGGAACGUGAUUGUUGGGAAUGCAACAAAAUUUCCCCAUUUUGUCGACGAGCUUUUGGUGGCUUAAAAAUAAAACCUGUAAAAAAAAUGGGGGCGUCCCAAAGGUGACAAAAGAGAGGAACAGUGAAAAUAAUAUUCGCGUUGGAUUACAUCGUUGCAAACACAAAUUCCAUUAAACUUUUACAGGACGAAAGUUAAGUCAGUUUCCAUUUAUAUAUGUGGAACGAUCAUGGACGACAUUUCGUCAGUCACCGUAACUGCUUCGACGCUUUGUACAUUCGACGUAGUUUGUUUUCGAAGAAAUUUACAGUACAAAUUCCAAAGUAUGCUACCGCGAUGAAAAAUAUUUGACUAAUACGCGCACCAUUGUUUGAGUGAAAAAUAUGAUUUUCUCUCUUAUCGUAAAUCGAACAAACGAUCGAAUUGAAACUUUGAUUUGUACAUAUGAAUAAAUAAGCGAAUAAAUUGACCAAUUUUUCCCUGAAUAUAGAUCGCUCAGGCACACUUUUUCCGUUUCAACAUUUCGUAAUCGGGUCAUCGGAUUUGAGCUCUAAUUGAUUUGUACAUCGAGAAUGACGUAUAAGCCCGAUAAAUGACAAACAACUGAUUAACUCAGAAUUUCACGAUAAUUCUGACCUGGAAAAACCUCUCUUUGAAUUUUCGGACAUCAUUUAUCUACAUCGUUCAAAGUGUUGGGGCGAUGGAGCUACCGAGAUUUGGAAAAUGUAACUGCACUGCGAAUAGAAUUCCAUUUUACGAUCUUUUUUUUUCAUACAACACACGUUGAGACCCAACCGCGCAUUUGUUAUCUUUUCCAAGGGUCAGACAUUUUUCAAAUAACGAAACCACUUUCUUGAGCGCACAAGAUUUUUUUUUGUCAACCUGCUUCACGCGACCAAUGUCAACAUUUUAGUGUGAAUAAUAUCCCCCAACGUUUUGGCAGCACUGUCGAACUAAACAGGUUAUGUUGCGGAAAACCGAACGUACCGCGAUCGAUCCAAUAUAUGAUAAUGUACAUCCAUCGAUCAACUUUACAGUUCCCAAUCAAUCAUGUAAUAUUUUAGUAUGUCAAAAAAAAUCUUCAUGUUAUAUCGCAGCGCUCCGUUCUCUUUGUUUCGGACCGAAAGCGAGAGCGCUCAAUCACGUGUCAACGCGGUCGAUCUAUCGCCGGAGCCUCGUCCCAAAACAAACGGACAAGUCUACAUAUAGAAUGGGCUCGGAACGAUUUGGCCGUUCGUCGACCUCACUUGUGGUA